rnacentral:rRNA from 1 species
GACGAACGCUGGCGGCGUGCCUAAUACAUGCAAGUUGAGCGAUGAAGCUUGGUGCUUGCACCGAUUUGAAGAGCAGCGAACGGGUGAGUAACGCGUGGGGAAUCUGCCUUUGAGCGGGGGACAACAUUUGGAAACGAAUGCUAAUACCGCAUAACAUCUUUAAACAUAAGGUUUAAGUGUGAAAUAUGGACUUGCAUCACUCACAGAUGGUCCCUCGUUGUAUUAGCUAGUUGGUGAGGUAAAGGGGCAUCAAGGCGAGGAUAGAGUACCCCACUGAGAGGGCGGUCGGCCAACAUGGGACGGAGACACGGCACAAACUUCUUCGGGAAGGAGCAGUAGGGCAUCUUCGGGCAUGGGUGGAAGACUGACCGAGCAACGCCGAGUGAGGGAAGAAGGUUUUCGGGUCGGAAAAAACGGGUGGUAGGGAAGAAAGCUGGUGCGAGUGGAAAGAACAGCAAGUGACGGUAACUACUCAGAAAGCGACGGCUAACUACGUG